UAACGCAGCUAACGCGUGAAGUAGACCGCCUGGGGAGUACGGUCGCAAGAUUAAAACUCAAAGGAAUUGACGGGGACCCGCACAAGCGGUGGAUGAUGUGGAUUAAUUCGAUGCAACGCGAAAAACCUUACCUACCCUUGACAUGGCAGGAAUCCUGGAGAGAUCUGGGAGUGCUCGAAAGAGAACCUGCACACAGGUGCUGCAUGGCUGUCGUCAGCUCGUGUCGUGAGAUGUUGGGUUAAGUCCCGCAACGAGCGCAACCCUUGUCAUUAGUUGCUACGCAAGAGCACUCUAAUGAGACUGCCGGUGACAAACCGGAGGAAGGUGGGGAUGACGUCAAGUCCUCAUGGCCCUUAUGGGUAGGGCUUCACACGUCAUACAAUGGUACAUACAGAGGGCCGCCAACCCGCGAGGGGGAGCUAAUCCCAGAAAGUGUAUCGUAGUCCGGAUCGUAGUCUGCAACUCGACUACGUGAAGUUGGAAUCGCUAGUAAUCGCGGAUCAGCAUGUCGCGGUGAAUACGUUCCCGGGUCUUGUACUCACCGCCCGUC
rnacentral:rRNA from 1 species